AGUGAACGCUGGCGGCAGGCCUAACACAUGCAAGUCGAACGAACUCUUCGGAGUUAGUGGCGGACGGGUGAGUAACACGUGGGAACGUGCCUUUAGGUUCGGAAUAACUCAGGGAAACUUGUGCUAAUACAGAAUGUGCCCUUCGGGGGAAAGAUUUAUCGCCUUUAGAGCGGCCCGCGUCUGAUUAGCUAGUUGGUGAGGUAAAGGCUCACCAAGGCGACGAUCAGUAGCUGGUCUGAGAGGAUGAUCAGCCACAUUGGGACUGAGACACGGCCCAAACUCCUACGGGAGGCAGCAGUGGGGAAUCUUGCGCAAUGGGCGAAAGCCUGACGCAGCCAUGCCGCGUGAAUGAUGAAGGUCUUAGGAUUGUAAAAUUCUUUCACCGGGGACGAUAAUGACGGUACCCGGAGAAGAAGCCCCGGCUAACUUCGUGCCAGCAGCCGCCGUAA
rnacentral:rRNA from 1 species